rnacentral:pre_miRNA from 1 species
CAAAAGGCAAACCCUAGGUUUACGUGUCCAACUUUGACUGUCCGUCUUAUAUGAAAUUUUUUUAUAAUUCGUAUUUUCAUUGUUGUUAGAUGAUAAAACAUGAUUAAUAUUUUAUGCGUGACUUGUCUUUUUAAUUUUUUUCAUAAUUUUUUCAAAUAAGACGAACGGUCAAACGUUGGGCACGGAAACCAGGGUUUGUCUUUUU